AAGUACGCUCAGAUCUUAGUGAGUCGCGUAUAAUCCGGGGUAUCAUUACUUGCAUAUUCUCCUGCACAUCUCGCAUGAUAGUUGCUUGUGCCGCUUCUACAGAUGCCCGCACAUAAUCAUGAAGUGUUAAUCCAUCCUCGUUUACAGAUAACAACAUGUUAUGGUUGAAUUUUUGUAGCUUGGCAGAAAUAAAGAAAUUGAUGAUGCUCUAGAUUCUCAGCCCUGAUAUCCACAAUUAUUCAUCUAAAUAGCACUCAAAUAAAUCUAAAUUGUUUUUUAGAAUAUUGAAUAUCUUUAAAUAAAUUGUGAAAUGUAAAUUCUUGUUUCUUUAUUAUAAUAAAAAAAUUUAAUUUGUACCAUGUUAAAUUUUGUAUAUGAAGUUUGUUGCUUAA